UUUGCCGUUUGAAAAAUAUUAAGUUUUAAAAUGCAAAAAUGUUGAUUUUUUUGAGUGUUUUUUUACGAAAUUCCACCUACAUUGACGUUGUCCAUCUCUUUCUCUACAUACUCAUGUUGAUAGGCUUACUGGAUGAUUAGUGUAUAUUUAGCCAAUACAAAUUUUAAAGUGUAUGUAAAUUAAAGGCCACUUUCGAAACCUAUUUUAGAACCUCGUAAAACAAUCCGGCAACACAUGCAAAAAUAGAUACGAAUAUUGUUUUAUUCUUCACGGAAUGACAAUUUUCAUCAGUUAUUCCAUUUCUGCAUAGUUACUUUAUUUGUAUGGCUUUGCAUAUACACUCAGUUUCUUUGAAUCAGAAUCAGAAAGUAGAAACUUGAAAGGUUUAUAUAAAAAAGCAAAAAAAAAUUAAUUCUUAAAAAAAAACAGCUACAAGCAAUCAUGUGCGAGGUGCAAAAGGUAUUCGACGGACUGUUCCAGACCAUGUCCAGUUCUAGGGAUAACCGUCCCAGCAAAGCAAUAGAAGUAGUCAACGAGUUAAAAUGCUGUAACUGCUACCAUGACAAACGAAUAAACGUCACCGCGGAGGCUAUAAAGAAGCCGCCGGUCCCCAAAAAGUUCAAUAAGAAGAAAGUUCUCUUCCUCUGUGGGGCAAUACUUGCCUGGACGUUGAUAUGCAAUGACUGUACCAUCAAGUAGCCCAUGCGAACCCAAGCCAAAGACUGUUACGCGCGGAACCCAGGAGAACGCAGCCCUCCUCCCGCCCAACCGACCGAGGGGCGCUGCCGCAUGACGCUCGGAGCGAUUAACCGAACCGCGAGCAGGUAGGAAAGAUAUUUGUUAGGCUAAUAUUCGAGAGCUAAACACAACUAAACUAGAGCAAUUACAGAGUGAAUAAUUUAAGCAAAGGUCCACACAGAGACUCGGCACAGUACCUGAGUACACAGCCGGGAACUCCGUCAGGGCCCGGUGAAAAUACCGGCUUAACUAAUUGAAGUUCAUGAAGUAAGAAGCUUUCAUUAAACAAAGGGCAGAAAAUGCCAUUCGACCUUGGUAAGCUAUAUGGACACAUAUGAAUGACCUGGGUAGAUUUCCUGGGAAUAGUUUGAAAAAUGGUGCAAAAAGAUCGGCUAUUACCUGAUCAUUGUUUGCCGACAUAUUCCAAAAUGAGGAUGGAUGUGAGUAGUAAGGAUAUAGGACAGUGGUACUCGAGUAAAUUCUCACGUCGGAUAAAGUGGUUUAUGAACUAGAUAUUCGAGUAAAUUCUCACUACUUGGCGCUAGUGUUGCCUGCUAUGGGAUAUUCUGCUUAGCAAGGAUCCUUUACAGGUGUGUGUAUAGGAUAUGAUCUAGGUGCUCAUUUAAACAAAAAUGUUUUUAGUGUCCACCAUUAACAUUCAUAUAUUAUUAUAUUCCUAUAUUCC
rnacentral:lncRNA from 1 species